GGCGCACGGUGGAUGCCUUGGCACUAGAAGCCGAUGAAGGACGUUACUAACGACGAUAUGCUUUGGGGAGCUGUAAGUAAGCUUUGAUCCAGAGAUUUCCGAAUGGGGAAACCCAGCAUGAGUUAUGUCAUGUUAUCGAUAUGUGAAUACAUAGCAUAUCAGAAGGCACACCCGGAGAACUGAAACAUCUUAGUACCCGGAGGAAGAGAAAGAAAAUUCGAUUCCCUUAGUAGCGGCGAGCGAAACGGGAAGAGCCCAAACCAACAAGCUUGCUUGUUGGGGUUGUAGGACACUCUAUACGGAGUUACAAAGGACGACAUUAGACGAAUCAUCUGGAAAGAUGAAUCAAAGAAGGUAAUAAUCCUGUAGUCGAAAAUGUUGUCUCUCUUGAGUGGAUCCUGAGUACGACGGAGCACGUGAAAUUCCGUCGGAAUCUGGGAGGACCAUCUCCUAAGGCUAAAUACUCUCUAGUGACCGAUAGUGAACCAGUACCGUGAGGGAAAGGUGAAAAGCACCCCGGAAGGGGAGUGAAAUAGAACCUGAAACCGUGUGCUUACAAGUAGUCAGAGCCCGUUAAUGGGUGAUGGCGUGCCUUUUGUAGAAUGAACCGGCGAGUUACGAUUUGAUGCAAGGUUAAGCAGUAAAUGUGGAGCCGUAGCGAAAGCGAGUCUGAAUAGGGCGUUUAGUAUUUGGUCGUAGACCCGAAACCAGGUGAUCUACCCUUGGUCAGGUUGAAGUUCAGGUAACACUGAAUGGAGGACCGAACCGACUUACGUUGAAAAGUGAGCGGAUGAACUGAGGGUAGCGGAGAAAUUCCAAUCGAACCUGGAGAUAGCUGGUUCUCUCCGAAAUAGCUUUAGGGCUAGCCUCAAGUGAUGAUUAUUGGAGGUAGAGCACUGUUUGGACGAGGGGCCCCUCUCGGGUUACCGAAUUCAGACAAACUCCGAAUGCCAAUUAAUUUAACUUGGGAGUCAGAACAUGGGUGAUAAGGUCCGUGUUCGAAAGGGAAACAGCCCAGACCACCAGCUAAGGUCCCAAAAUAUAUGUUAAGUGGAAAAGGAUGUGGCGUUGCCCAGACAACUAGGAUGUUGGCUUAGAAGCAGCCAUCAUUUAAAGAGUGCGUAAUAGCUCACUAGUCGAGUGACACUGCGCCGAAAAUGUACCGGGGCUAAACAUAUUACCGAAGCUGUGGAUUGUCCUUUGGACAAUGGUAGGAG
rnacentral:rRNA from 1 species